GAAUACAAUAACACUACGAGAGAGAUUUGUCUCAAAUAUUAUCAUAAAAUGGUUGGGAAAAUAUCAUUUCUCAUACAUUCUACCUAUAUGCAUAGUACAAUGUGAACAGAAGACUAUUGAGAAACUUAACAUCGUCCUUUAUAUAAAAAACAAGUCAACCCUGUUAUUUUCCCAUUCAUGCCAGCCAUAUAGACAUACUUUACAAGCGAUGCAUUCAAUACAUUGUUCUAUUUUUUCCUGCCACUAACUAUAUAUAAUUAUAAUUAAGAUAAGAAAAAGAAUAAAGGCAUUCAUAAGUCAAAAACACAGGCGUGUCUCCAUUAUUAAUUUAUGCAAAUGCGAUUAUGCAGGUCGACAAAUUGAUUUUAUAUUUGUCGAGCUUAUCUUAAUAGACAGGGACAUUACAUAAUACAUACAGAAGUCGGAGUUCUACCCUCAGACAUCCCACUUCUCCACAUUUAAAUAUGUGUGUUCCAGCUAUUAAACUACUUGACAAAAAACAAAUUGAUUUUAUAUUUUGUCAAAAAAAUAUAUAUAUGCAAGCAAGUGUAGAGUAAGUUGUGAAACGCAGUACUAGCAAGAGAAAAUGGCUUCUAAGAAUUGUUCUCUUCUUUGUAUGGUUCUCUUUUUAUGUACAAUGAGUUUCUCUACUAAAACAACAAGGAACAUUGUUGGUGCUUCCAAAAUGUAUGCAAUUUCAGAUGAAAUGGGUAAGAAUAGAAAACUACUUGCCUCAGAUCAGCGAUGUCGUAGAGAAAGAAUUACCGUUGAACUUAAUCAAGCUUCUAUUGUACUUAAUAAUACUGCUUUAUUUAAUAGAACUGAUGUUGAACAACCCCUUAAAUUGAAUCAAACUCACGAGGGAAAGCCAGAAAACGAUCCACGUUGCCACAAUUAUCUUUGAUCGAUUUGGCCGUAUUGUGUUACGAUUUCAUGGAUGAAGAACAGAAAAGAAUUGUAUUAAAGACAUAUAUUAGAUGGCACUAUUCAUUUGUUUCGUUCAUGUAAUUUGUGUGCUUUUAUAAUAUAUUAAUGAAAUUUGUGUUUACAUAA